CCCUGCCAUUUGUACACACCGCCCGUCGCUGCCCGGAACUGGGUUAAUUCGAGAAGAUUGAGGAUUGUUUGUUAUUGAAUAUUUCGGUAUUCAAUCAACAGAUGAAAAUCAAUUUGAUCGCAUUGGCU
rnacentral:rRNA from 1 species